GCUGACUUGAUGUGACAAACAAUUUGAAAGUAGGAUGGAAGGAAGGGCGUCACAGUUAGAGUGAAUUAAAGAGCAGAGAGAAUGCAGAAGAGCUGUUAAUCACAUCUGACAAGUUUCAGCAGAUCACUAAAGAUGGAAAGUGUCAGUAAAAAAGUAUCAGAAUUAUCUAAAGAUGGAAAACGAUUAUACCUCUCCACACUGAGAAGUGAGUUUAUAAAAAGUCCUCUGGCAUCAAAUGUGUUUCUCGGCCUGAUUCUCACUGGUUUGGAGAAGAUUGUGGAGGUGGAGUUUGCGUGUCCUUGUGAUCCUGCAUUGAACGCUGUCUUUGCGUCAAUGUUUUUUAUUUUACCUGCAAUUGUUGCUUCUGGGCUGAUGCUUCUUAUUCAAGGGUGUACGUGUCAGUGCAAAGUUAACGAUUACUGUGAAAGGUUUGUACUUCUUGGCAUGGCUCCUAUCAUAAUGUGGCUCGUCCUGGUCCUCUUGGAUGGUCAAUACUUUGCCUGUGCAAACACUAACUGGUCUGGAAGGUUUGUGAUCGUUGACAAAGCUGAGCCCCAGAGAUGGUGUGAACCUACCAAUGGAACCUCAUACAUGGAGAGAAUGCGCCUGACCCAGACGUGGUACUUUAAGUCUCAGUUCGCUGGAGUUUUCAUUCCGAUCGUCUGUCUCAUUUUAUUUGGAGCAUAUAAAGGCCUGAUGCAAUGUAAGAAAAAGAAAGAGAUAAAAGAGAGACAGAGAGGAGACAAAGUAGAGUUACAGAAGCCAGAGAAUGAAGAGUUGGAGGCGUUCCAAGAACCACAAACCAGUGGUUCUUUGAACACCUGAUCUUCUGGGUCAUGAUGCUCCAGCUACACAAGAAAUGGGGCACUUGCCCUGUGAAUGAAAAGUGAUUUAUCCUCAUUCACAGAAAUAGUAUCGAUGUUAAUAGAACUUUACUUAAACACAUUUAAAGCAUUAAUACAGCAUGUUCUUGUUUUAACAGUUGGUUUUCCUAAAUACCUGAAGUAAAACAUUCAUUUUAAAUGCAUUUAAAUGCAUUAUGCAUUGCUUUUGUUUACUGUAAAUAUAUAUCCUGUUUAUGUCAAAUGUCUUUUGCACAGAUUUUAUUCUAACAUUGUCAAGCGAUGCACUGAUGUAAUUAAUACCUUUCACAAUCAUACAGCUGUGUAGUGCUGCAAAAGCGUGCAGUCAUUGAACUUCCUGUUGAAGCAUCCCAAGGCGAGACAACUGUGUUUUUCACAGAUAAUAAUUCAGAGAACAACUGAGCGACAUGUUUAAAACUUCCUGCUUGUUUCCUGCUAUGCUCAUUGCUGCAUAUGAAUUUGACUUUUGUCUUCCUAAAAAAUGGCAUAAAAUGCCAAACAUGACAACUUGUCUUUAAUAUUCUUUUGAAACAGUUCUGUAUAUCUGUCUGUCUGCUUCUUUUACAAUAAAAAAAUAAUUUUGCAUUAGUCUAGUCUGGCCUUUGUCCCAUGUGAGUCCAUCAAACCUUCUGAGGCAGCUGAACAAAAGCUGCAUGAAGUUCCUCAGUAAUAUCUUGAUGGAACUCUCUAACUAUGUCCCUACGUUCAUGACAAUAAACUCAUGAUCCUCAGAAUUCUAGAUAAACGUCUUGUGACCAGCGUCUGGCAUUAUCCACCCUGUGUUCUCCCUGCAGCAGCAGCUGCACGGCUGGGUGCGUUUUUAAAGAGAGAGCCGAGCGCAGGCACUGAUGCUUGUUAUCCAAGGACGUAGGUUAUUCAGUGUUUGUUUGGUGAAUCCUGCCUGAGAUGGACUGCCGCCUGCCUGCAUGAGAUGGUGGGUGAGUGCAUCUGGUGGCACCCCUUCAUCUCUGGUCCAGACUUUGGGUUCAGCAUUGUCAUUCACGUUUCUUGCAACAGUAGUGUAACUACAGUAUAAAGUGGUCAGCGGAGGCAGCAAGCUGAUUUUACUGAUGUACCAGGUUUAAUGCAACCCAUUUACAGUGAUGCCCAUGAGCACAUGUGUGUUUACCCAUUUAUAUUUCCCUUUAAUGGGAAAACAAUGAUUUUGUGCCCAGGUGAAUUAGUUUAGAUUCUUACCGUCUUUUUUAUUUAAAGUGUUUGUUUUCAAUUCUUCCACGGAUUAAAUAAAAAUCCAGAAUAAUUCAUGAUUUCAUUCUGACAUUGUUGCAAUGAAUCUCUCUGCACUUUUCAAUUGCAAACAGCUAUGAAGGUGUUGCAAAGCUGCCCCAUCAUUUAACUUCCUGCCAACGUCUGAAGACGAGGCGACUUUUUUUCACUGUGCCGCUCAUACUAGUCAGUCACCUUGGUGACAGGUUUGACACGGUUUCCUGUUAUGUUCACAUUAUACUUCUUCUUCUUUGUUUUCUAGAUUUGGCAAAAAAAAAAAAUCUUUUAAAAAAUGUCUUUACAUUUUCACCAAAAAUAUUUAUAAUAAUAAAUAAAUAAAUAAAUAAUAAAAAUAAUAUUUAUAAAGAUAUUUUGCUCUAGUUUUCAUUAUUUUCCUUCCAACAAUUACUUUAUCGGUUUGAACACUGCAUAAAAAAAUUAAACUCCAGAUGAGUGUGAUGAACAAGGCCACAUUCACAAAAGCACCCAUGACUCAAGGUGCAUCUUGUGUGUUUGUGUCUGCAGAUGAUCAGCUCCUUUAUAUCUGAUCCCAUGCUUUAUUCAAAACACUGCGUGGUUUCAUAGGCUGAUCUCUGUGCAGCCUUGAGAGCAGCUGCAUGGUUUCCUGUGAGAAGCAUUAUAACCAUCUGCCAUCAGCGCCUCAGCAAAGAUGUGUCUAUUAAGCUUGGACACAGUUACGACCCGCUGCUCUUUAAGCUGAAUCUGUAGAGUUUAUGAGGCUCAUUGAAGAAAAAAGGAAACUCUAGGAUGAUUUGCUUCCUGGAAUCCAUUUGCUCAUCUACAGUAUGUGUCACAUAUACUCUCGCUUUUAGACGUCCCACUCGAAGACCUUCAUUUUAUGCAAAACAUAUUGAUUCUAGAUUGACUGUACCAUUGGACCUCUGAUACCUUCCAGUUUCUUUAGGGAUCCCAUUCUGCACAAGGCAUGUCUUUUCUAAUUUUACCAGUGCCAGCACUGUGAAACCUAUGACAACCACUAGAGUUUCAGCAUUUAGAAUACAUAUUCUACUUCUCCUGUUGCAGAUCUUCUUUCCCCUUCACAGGAAAUGACUACAGUGGUCUUUGAUUCAUCUUUACUUGGAAGGAAAUGCAUCAAAUGAAUAUAGAUGUUUUUCAUGUGCAUUGUUAUUAAACGUUAGCAGAACAGGAGCGUGACAAAUUAUUUAAAAUUCAGACCGCAGUGCUGCCUUUAACCACUUGAUGUCAGUCCUGCCUGCAAGUGUUAACAAGUUUGGAAUAAACACAGGAAAACUGAAAGUAAAAUGGAGCACAAGACAUUAAAAAGCAGCAGUCCAGUGCUGGAGUGAGGUUUUUAUCACAAGACCUUUGAGCAGAUCAUUGGAACAUCAUCAUGACCACUACUACAACUGGUAAGUGUAAUUAUAGUGUAAUUAUAGUUAGUUUUAUCCAUGCAGACAACUUUAUGUCUUAUUAUUCAAUAUAUAACAUGCAAUAUAUAUGGAGAAGAAGUGGUUGGUGUCACCUAAUCAAUUUACCAUCUUUAUUUUCUCUUCUUUGCAGCAGUGGCACAAGAUGGGGGAACUAUCUCUGGACUAAAAAGUGAGUUAAUGAACAGUCCUCUAGCGUCGAAUGCUGCUCUUAGUUUGAUCCUCCUUGGCUUGGAGAAGGCAGCCGUGGUGGGGUUUGCGUGUCCUUGUGAUCCUAAAUGGAACACUGUGUUUGUAUCAGCAUAUUUCGUCCUUCCUGGAGUUUCUGCCUCUCUGCUGAUGCUUACCAUUAAAGGAGUAAGAAUCUGCGAGUGCAAGCAUCAAGAGUGGAGAAACCUUCUGUUUUAUGGCAUAGCUCCUCUUAUAACAUGGCUCAUCCUGAUGCUCUUUGAUGGCUUAUACUUUGCCUGUGCAGUGACAAACUGGUCAGGCAGGUUUGUAACUGUUGAAAAAGCUGAGCCCCAGAGAUGGUGUGAACCUGCUAACGGCACCUUAUACAUGGAGAGAUUGAGCCUGACCCACGAGUGGUACUUUCUAUCUCAGGCCAUGGCACUGGGGAUUCUUUUUGGCUGUGUCCUUCUACUGAUAGUUUAUGGAGGAUAUAAAUGUCUAUUUGAAACACCUACUGAUGGAAAUAAACAGGAUGUAGAGGGGUUGAAUAUUAGUAACACCUUUGUGCUUAGAACAGGAGAAAGAUUCUAAAAACGAGACCUCUGAAAGACAUUGAUCCAAUAUUUUCUGUUCUGUAUAUUGUAUAACAAUAUAACAAAAUUGUAAUCUGUUCCACAUGGGUGCAAACAGAAAGGUAGAAAAUAAACGGACUAAAAGAUCAGAAAACCUUCAAAAUAAAUAACUAUAACUAACUAUACCCACAGAAAAUGCCUGCUUGAUUUCACUAAAGCACAACUUGAAACACUGGACUACAAGCCACAUACUCUAUGUCGCUCCUCUUCUGCUUUAGUGUCUGGUCCUUUGGGUGGACGAGUUUCUACGAGUCAGUUGAUGGGUUUCAAUUUACAAAGAAUAAGAUUUUUUACAUUCAGGACAGAGAAGACAAGUGAUUUGAAAGUGUUACAUUUACAAUUAAACAGCCCCUGACUCAACAUUGUAUCCAAUUUAUCAGGCUUCUUUUUCAUCUGUUCCGACAAAGAUCUGGACCACUUUACAAGCCCCCCAUAAAAAAGAAUUAACAACCCUGUAAUGGUGGAGGUAGAGUCACUAGUCACUACUCCCAGUCCUUUGUGUACCCAAGACACCUGUUUAUUACAGGCAUGAAAUAAAACAUAACUGAAGGAUGCAUUUGUGAACGCUAGCUUAACUUUCCUCAGACUAAAGAAGUUACCUGGACAGGUGGUGAAAGAUUUCUACUCUUGAAGGGAGAAAUCCAGUUGCUUGACUCAACUUUCAGACAUGUACAAUAGUUCGGUUAUUUGGCAAGUGUAAAGUAAAUUGUGUGUGAGUGUGAGAGUGAUUUGUUCUUUGUGUCCUAUUAUAAACUAGCACCCAGUGUGUGGUGAACCAUUAGGCUCCGUCUUAGAUGAGAUCCUUACCAGGAAUAUUUGCCUAAGAUGUUCACUGAGUGCAGUGGUUGAACCCUUUUAUUACUGCUCCAGACGUUAGGUCCAUACAAUACAUACAGUACUGGAUAUUAGCUCAAAACUGUAAUUACUUCAACACAUUGUAACACAAAGUAUACUAGGUACACAUAAUAUACUGUAGUGUGUAGAUACUAGACAAUAAGCUCACUGCAAUAUCUGCCAGACUUUGCUCUAACUGUCAGACGCCAAACAAAGGAAACCAUAAAACCUCUGUUUAAACAAUUUAUGACCUCCUAUUUGCAACAGAGCUUUUCAUUUAUAGGUUUUCAGCAAAGCUAAUGCUCAUUUACCCAUUUAAGCAUAACUGUGUAUAGUGCUUUUGUGCACUUUUGGCACACUCUUUACAAAUGGCUACAGUCAUGUUUGAUUCAGCUUUACAUGGAGAAAAUACAUCAAAUGGAUAUUUUAAGUGUACUGAUAAUAAACGUCAGCAGGACAGGACCAGGACAAAUUUCACAGGCUUGUGUUGUCAUUUAAUGUGCAGUACUGUUUUUAACCGCUUGGUGUCAGAGUUGACAGUUGACAAGGUUGUACAGUAACUGAUAAAAAAAAGACAAAUAGAAAGGAAAUAGGAAAAACAUAUUUACUAGAAAGCAGUACUGUACUCAAGUGAGGCUUUUAUUACAAGACCUUUGAGCAGGACACUGGAACAUCAACAUGGUCAAUCCUUCUAGUAGAGUGACUGCAUUAGCAUCUGAUGAGACAAAACAAUUACAAACACAAUUCAUCUCCAUAUUGAAAAGCUUUUGGAUUUGGUAUUCUUUUGGUCUGUGUUUUACUAUUUGGAGCAUAUAAAUGUCUACGUACACAACCUACUGAUGACAAAGACCAGGAUGAAGAGGAGCCAAAUAUUGGUACCCUUUCGAGCUAACAGAAGCAAGCCAAGAGGACAGUCUUUAAUAAUAUUAACCCUCAUAUACUGUAGUUUCUCUUAUCUCGUAGAGAAAAUACAAUUUUUUGUUGAGAGGGUACAGCAUUAGUUUGUCGUUUUCUGGGCAAUCUGCAUUCAAGUUUCAUUGGAACAGGAAUAUGGGUGUGGUGGAGUGCUGCAGAUAAGGUUCCUGUGGGCUUCAGAUACAGUAGUUCAUGCUUAGCUGUAAGCACAUCAGAUGUACUUGUUUAUAUGAUUCUCCUUUUGCCUCCAACCCUUAUGAACAUGUUGCCCAUAAAAAUACGUAAUGUCCCAUCACAGAUGUUCUGCUAAUUAACUCAUUCAUUGUUAAAUGCCCUGUUCACUGCGUUGAACUGUUAUUCUUUGUUUGUUUGUUUGUUUGUUAUUGCUUUCUCUGUCGCAGCCACUGCUCAUAGACACUGUGACAGUUCAGCAGCAGCUGGAUGAAGCAGGAAAAUAGGCUACAGGACAAAAAAACAGAAGUCGUAAAACCUGAUUUCUCAUCCACUGUUUGAGUGAAAGGUCGUGUAGGGUCAGAGCAGAAAGACCCAAAUUAGGAGCCGACUGAAGACUGCAGUAACGCCAAGAGCUUCCUUUUAGAGGGUGUUGUUGUUUACAUGGUCUGUGGUCAGAUUUAGGUGUGAUGACCACUGGUUCACAGCCUCUGAUCAAACCUACAUCGUCAGAGCGGCCUCUGCAGAAAAUAUCUAAAAAAAACAAAAACAUGCAAUGUUGUUAUGUCAAACUUAUUAUCAGGACCAAAAGACACAUGUGCUGUACAAGACAGGUCAGAUGCAUCUCUGGAGCUGGUAUCACAUGUGAUGCAGCCUGCUUCACAUGUGCCUCAGCAGCCAAUGAUUUGAGUAGCUGAGCUGACGUUAACACCAACAGGAGGGAUUAUUUACAAUGUGUGUAGAUGUAACCAUCACUCCGUCUGGAGUGGAAAUCAAUCUUCCUUAUACUGUAGGUUUAACUGGGCAUACGUUUGAGAGCAAAAAUAAGUGUUAAUAUGUGUUGAUGUCAGAUGUUGCACAAGACAGUGAAAUAGUAAGUUGUUCUUUAAUAGUCUGGUAUGUACAGUAAAUAUUUUUACUUUUCUCUAAUAGUCGUCUCCCCUUUAAUAGUCAUUAAUAGUCUGAUUCAGUCUUCUUUGUUUUCCCUAUAGUCUGGCCAGACAAACCUAUAUUGUGCACAAUUCUUUUUAGAAACAUGGAGGAUUUUAUUACUGAAUUUGUUGCAAAUCGAAAUAGUUUAAACCCAUCAGACUGCAAAUUCAUGCAGCAGUUGUCAUUUAGCUGGUUGCCAUCAUUUUAAAAUCACUGUGGGAUGUUUUGAGCAAAAAGCAAUUCUUUAUUGCAAGCAAAUAAGCAUGAAUUUAGAUCAGUUGAGCAAAGAGUUGGACUAAUUGAGCGUGUCUCAGCUAUAAGCGUGUUUCUUCAUUGCAUGCGUGGAAAUGUGUGUGUGUGUUUGCGGUACCGUGUUCUACGUCUUGUCGCCUUCCUCCUUCCCCAACCAUCAGUCUGAUGUGAGCGCCUGAGUGGGUGGAGCUUGACGUAGCAGGGACACUUGUUCUUUCAAAGCCCCUCCUGACCACAGCCAUGACAGAUGUAUCCUGGAUGCAGCUCCAUUGAGCCAAUCACGUCUGAGGUCUCCUGUUGUUUCAACCAGUGUCUGCGUCAGAGCACGUCUUCUUAGAUGGAGCUCACUUUGCUCUUUCUCUUUUCUCGUUCUCCUUUGCUGAAGAAUGUCAUAAGCAGGAGUCUGUGUCAGACACACAGCUGUAUCUCAGUUUUACGUCCUCUGAAGCUUCAGACACAGUCCUUUCAUGCUGGUGCAGGGCUUGUAGUAGCUGGUGAGUCUGAUGAGCCCAGAACAUGAUGGCUGCAGACGUUGUGGGAGUCACUGAGGACAAUGGAGGUCCUCACUUUAAUGUACUGCAAGUACAAGAAUGUGUGUGUUUCUCAUCUCUUUUUUGUUUCUUUUAGAGGUUUAAUUUGGAUAGAUUUGCUUUUUUCAAAUCUCCUGUUCUUUUGUAUCUAAUUUGUCUUUUAAGGUGCGUUGACUGUUACGCUAAGGGAUUCUCAUUUUGAACCCAUGAAACCAGUUUCCCACUCAUGGAAAGAUGAAACGCACAAAUAACCAUAUUUACUCAUCAUUAAUGUAAGGUUGCUGUCUGGUGGUGAAGACUCAGAUUGCCCUGAACCCGUCUUCCAGAGUUCGGCAGUUUCCUGUCUUAGAUUUUUUGUGUUCCGGCCGGAACCUUCCCUUAAUUUCUUUUUACGGACGUGUCCGGAAAAAGGGACCUGCUCAGAUCUAGCGACAGAGUCUUCCCGGAAGUGAUCCCUCACCGUCCGGCCCUUCUAAGACCCGGGUCUCUCGUGUCUCGAGAAAACGUCCCACUGCAAACGCACUCCGUCCUUCAGGAAAGCCGUCUUUUUUUUUCGUCUCCCACUCUCGGUGUGGACUGCGCUCAGAUCUGCACUCACAGUACGGACGAAUGCUCGGUUCCACGAGCCAACCUUCAGCAACCGUCGUCUCGCCCCCCAGAGCAGACUUUUCAAAAUUUAUUAUUGGGAUUAUUAUUAUUUUGAUCAAUUUUACUAAUCAAAUUUAGCGUUUCAACCAAAUAGAAGAUUUUUUCCCAACAAAUUGAAAUGUUUCAUCCUAAAAAAAAAGUUUCAAAAAAGAAAUCUCUCUCACCGGGCCAAGCCAAGUUAGGAUUUUGGGGGCUGGGGGGACUGUGAAUGAAACUGGUCAAUGCACUGAUCUCCUGGUUUUUGGUUUGUUGAUGUGCACGAUCAACAUCCAUGUUUUUGAUUUGCUUUCCCCAUUAUAUUUAUUUUUAUUUAUUUUUAUAAUAAAUCACACAAAGGACAACUCUCUCAUCUGCCUCUUCCACCACAUUAUAUUAAUAUAAUUGUUACACAUGCACAUCAUAACAGCUAAACCUGUCAGACAGCAUGUUAGAUAUACUUUCAUUUUCCUUCCCAUUUUUGUGCAUGACUAACAAUUACUGUAUGAGCACAGAAAAGCUUCACAACCUGUUAUGCUGUAUCUAAGCCAUGUUCUCUGACCAGCCUGUCAGCAAUGCACGCCCUCCAGGAUUUUAAAAAAAGAAUAGAUGGUAUAGAAAAGAGAAGCAUGGGUCCGACAAAUGUACCGACUAAAAUGGUCAAGAGUGUUUUUUACAACUUAAAUUUAUUCAAUACUGGUGGUUACCACACCACAGGAAAGAUUCAAGUUCAAGUUCAGUCUUGUUCCAAACGUAUGUGAUUACAAAUUCUCGAUGACUAAAAUUGAAAAAGAAAGUGGGACUGAAGGAAGGGUGUCAAAGGAAUUGGGUAUAAUAUACAGCACAAAACAAAUUCGGAAAACAAAAAGAUUUUGAUCAAUGUAAAUUGUAAUUUAUAGUUUACUGCAUGGUAUGUUCAUUAUUGAUUUAGUUUUGGUGUUAUUGGAAAUGUUACUUUGACCGAUACUUUGUCAUUUGGAAAAUGUUUUUAAACUAUAUAAGCAGAGGAAUAUUCCCAUCAUUGCUGCAUUUGCAGUAUAACCCUGUCCUCCUUGGUCACAUGCAGAGACUGCGGGUAUCAGUGUGAUUAGUUUGGUACCAGUUUUGGCAUUUUUGAUUCCAGCUCACCCUCAAACACAAUGAACUUUUUUGUACGUUAUGACACCACAAAGAAAAAUGUAUUCAAGUUCAGUCUUGUAGCUAACGUAUGUGUUUGAAAAUUUACAACAGCCUGAAAUGAAAAAAAGGUGGGAUUGAAGGAAGGCGUCACAGUUAGAGGGUAUAAAUAACAGGGAGAAAAGAGGCAACAAGAGGAUACUGUAUGUUACUUGUGCAAAACAAAUCUGAGUAGGAAACUAAAGAUGGACAGGAAAACUGUCUCAAGGAAAACAGUGGGUAGGUGGAAUUCUACAUUAGUUUGUGUUUAAUUUAUUGUCAGUGGAUAUGAGUAAGUGAUUUUGAGUUUGUGACAUUUACUGUAGAGACCGCUAGGAUUUCAUUUUUUUCAGUUUUGAUGUUGCUGGAAAUAAAUCUCCAUAAUCUCUUUGUUGUACCAAGAGACCGAAUAUGUUUUACAAAUGAAUAAAUGUAUAUAUGGACAGUAUUAUGAAGGGAGGUUUUGUGUAAAAAAAGAACUAUGUCUCAUUUUGUUUCUCAUCAUUAUUAUCUUCUUAUGCAGAAGCAGCAGCUGAAGGGAAAAAAAUGUUCUUCACCACACUGAGAGGCAAAUUCAUGAAUAGUCCCCUCGCAUCAAAUAUUGUUCUUGGUUUAGUCCUCACUGCCCUAGAGAAGGCAGUGGAGAUGCAGUUUGCAUGUCCUUGUAAUCCCAAGUGGAACGCUGGGUUUUCAUCAGCAUAUUUUGUCCUUCCAGGAUUUACUGCCUCUGUGCUGAUGCUUGUUGUUCAGGGAUGUAAGUGCAAGUUUCGCCAAGAAAGAGAGAAUCUUCCACUUUUUGGCCUUGUUCCAUUCACAAUGUGGCUCAUCUUGCUCUUCUUGGAUGGUCAAUACUAUGUCUGUGCAAUGACAAACUGGAACGGCAGUUUUGUGGAGAUCAAUGGAGCUGAACACCAGAGAUGGUGCAAACCUGACAACAUCACCUCACAACUAAAAACCAGCCAGGAGUGGUACUUUCAUUCUCAGGCCAUUGGACUGGGGAUUGUUUUGGUCUAUGCCAUACUACUCAUGGCAUAUGGGGCAUAUGAAUAUGUACAAAAAAGAAAUACUGAUGGAACAGACCAGGAUGAACAGUGGAAAGAUACUGGUAAUGGUAUAGAGCUAACAGAAACAGGUCAACAGUUUUGCACUGAAAGAGACACCUUAAAGAACAUUGAUCCAACGGAUUCAUAUUAACAUUUAUUGAUGUUACAGGUUUUACUUUUAGUUUAGACAACAAGAUUUCUUGUAUGGAAUAAUUAAUUGUGUUUUUAAUAAUAUUAAAGUUCCUAAAUUUGAGAAUUUAUCAUCGCCACUACUUAAAUACAUAUAAAUACAUAUAAAUAUAAUAAUUUAAACCAUAAAACAAAAACAAACUAACAUCUAUUGAUGGGUGGGGGUUUAAUUUGCAGGUACAAGGUUUUGAAUAUAGAAUUUUAUGCAUAUUUAACAACAACAACAACAACAACAACAAUAAUAAUAAUAAUAAUAAUAAUAAUAAUAAUAAUAAUAAUAAUAAUAAUAAUAAAGUAAAGUAAUGUGAAGUGUCUCAAGGAUGCACCUGAAGCCGAAGCAGGGGAUUAAACCGCAGAUCUUUGCUUUCUGAGGCUGUUGCGCUACCAACUGAGCUAUCAGGCCAAUUAGUACAUGCUUGAAUAAUAAUGAGAAUAUGUCAAUAAACGAUCGCAUGCAAAAUCACCUUUGCUGUCAUUCACAUUUAAAGUUGUUUCCAUGAAACUUGUUUCUCCAUAGUGCGUCUUAAAUCUAAGUGAAUGUGAUAAGCACAUAUGUUAUUCUUUAUUUAGGGGAGGUCAAGCAUAUGCUGCAUUACAUAGAAAUAAAUAUUGACUGAUAAAUGUUAGCCAUGUAUCAGUAUUCAGGAAUGAUGUUAAGUAGUCUACAUUGGGCCAAAAUACUGAUUAUUGGUCACACAAAAAGUGCUAUUAUAGACAGUGGUGAAGUAAGUUGCAAGAUGUUAUGCUUAUCUCUAUGUUUGACUGGAGUAACUUGAUUAGCAAAGUGACAAUAAUAUGGAUCCAAUACCUACAGCCCCACCACCCUGAACCUGCCCGAGCUUGUCCUGUCUUGUUUAGUUUUUGGAUGAAAUGCAGGUACAGUACAGUUAAGAACCUGGUGAAACACUUUUUACAUAAUAUAAGGUACAUUUAACUCAACUUUAACUUCGCUUAAUGGACAUACGCACACUGGACAUGAUGUGUUGGUUCUUCUGUGCUGGGGCAUCUUCUUGUGUACUGUUGCACAAGCAAUAGAUGAGAGGGACUGUCCAUGAUGGAUGUGUUCUAAAGGAACACAUUCAGCAAUGUCUGAGUCGUCUGAGGAUUUCUGGCUAUGAUAGCUGGUGGUUGUAUAUGUGAAGCCUGUGUAGAGGAAUUGUUGGAAAAAUACUGCAUUUUAAUUAUUGAAACAUUGUUGGAAUUUAUUUUGCUGAUCUGCUGUGACCUUGUUAGAUGUGGUAUGGCCUUGAAGUUUUCUCCCUUCUGCUCUGCAAGACAUACUGUAGGGAGUACCAGACUGUAGCAUCCUUAUUUGAUGUGCCCAAUUCUUGCUUUGUGUAGAAGAUAUUUCCCACGUACUUUGUGACUAUGCACCUCCCAGAGUGGAAUAUAUAUUAUGAGCUGAAUUCUUGUCUUCAGUGAGAGGAAGUUUCCUGUGUUGUAAACAGCUCACUCAUUGCAAGUAAAAUACUGAAGAAGUUCUCAACUCAUUGUGUUUCUUUUAUUUAAGAUUUACAAAGGGAAUUCACAAUUUCGCUAAUUCACUAGCAUGCAGCAUGCAAGGAUAAAAUAGAAAGAGAAAGUUAAGGAAGUUAAACAGGAUGGAAUUUGAUGCAAUGUGGCUUUAAUCCUGGCUCUCUGGAAUUUUGCAGUUAUGUUAGUUAGUCAAAAAACAUUGUAAAUGAAUCAAUCUUGCAUCAAAUAGCACAAUUUUAUCUACUGAACACGUUGGUUUCAUGACGGUUGAAAGUUCUGGUGCACCUGAAUUUGAACUUUGAGUCCAGAUGAAGUCUUUCCCUUUCAUAAUUAAUCCGCAUUGCAGGUUUUAUAAUCGUUAUCUCCUCGUGCCUGUGUAGUCGGGAGGGAUAAGGAAGAUCCUGUUAAAUUUCCUGUUCAAUUUAAAGAUAGUGUGCCUCUAUCAGUAUCCAUGUUCUUUGAUGCUAAUCAACUCAAUCAGUUUCUCUUGUGAAAAUAUGAUAAUUUCUUUAUUCAUUAAUGUGGUUUUAGAACGUUUCAUUCACAUUUCAGAUUGUUUCCAACUGCUAUAGAAAAAGAUAGACUGAUUAAGUUUAGCCAUGUAAUAAUAUCCUGGAAUAAUUUUGAUUAGUCCACACUGUAGUGUUUGAUUAUUGGUUCAUAGAUUAAGAUUUUAUGCUUGCAAUUGUUUCAUCUUGAAUAUUCAACCUGACAUUAUAGACGGGAGGGACAAUAUGGACCCAAUACCUACAAAUAUACCACUCUGAACCUGCCUGAGGUAGUCCUGCCUUGUUUUAGUACUUGGAUGCAACAGUAAAAAGUGUAUUCAACUUAAAUUUAACUUCUUCUAAAUGUAAAAUCACUAGACCUGAUCUGUUGAUCCUUCUGUGCUGCCAUCCUCUUGUGUAUACAGUAUCUGUUUGGUUCCACCAAAGUACACUUUUUACUGAGGACUCAUCAACCUUUUCCAUGUUGAUCUUAUGUGAUUCUCCUGUGGCUUCCAACACUCAGAUGUCCUGCUAAUCAUCAGUCACUCAUUCAGUUUCUCUGGGGAACCUUGUUAAAUGCCCUGAUGAGUUGACAGCUGCUAAUCUACUUCACAUCUUCUACACAUAAAGGAUUAAAUAAUAAUUUGUAACUAGAGACAAGUCAAUCACUCACUGUUGGACAUACUGCAAAAAGAAACCUUCAGUAGAUGGACACGCAUUAAUUCUCUAAUCUUCAUUACCAUCUAGUGGCGGAUUAGUGCACAACAUAACAAACUUAAUGCGCCCAAAUGUCAACAGAAUACAUUUAAAUUUAAAAUUGCAGCUCUACAUUUUGUAAUGAACUACAAGAAUAAAUAGAAAGGACCACUUAUAAAAAUGCAGACUUUCUUUUCUUUUCUUACUGUUAUAAUAUUUUCCCAGAGGUCCAAAUUACCGAGUAUACUUAUAUUAAAAAUAAAUAUAGGUAUACUUAUAAUGUGGAGACGUAGAUAAGUCUUCUUCUUACAAAGCCUUGGAUUACAUUAGAACUGACUGCAGUGGAGACACCGUGUGGGUUCAGGAUGCAGCUGUGUUUCAUUAAGCAUCUUAUGAAGAUGCUUGAGACCUUCAGGUCUGGUUGUUGGUCAGGAUGCUGACACACCUGAACCCUCCAGUUGCACCUGUAUUUAUACUAGAAGUACAUUUACUGCAACAAGGUGAUUCUUAACCUGCUGUAAAGCAGCCUUCAACAAGUUGUGUGUGUUUCCCACAUUACUCACCUCCAUGAGCCAUGAGUCAAAUGCAGAGACUGAUGUUUUCUUGGUGGCUCAUAAAGUACAACUGUGGUGAAUUUUGGGACGUCAAAGCUGUUAGACGUUAAUAGAGCUUUUUGUGAUUUCUUCUCAUCUUCGAGCAUACAGCACCAUAUUCCUCAUACUUUACCAUGAUGAAAUUCAGAUUUGUAAUGGUUAAGUUGUUACAGUAAGUAAGGUACUGCAACGGAAGGAAAGUGAUGUUCAGUGUUGUGGUUAACGCAUGCGUUCACAAGUUUAAGCUGACUUGAUGUGACAAACAACUUGAAAGUAGGAUGGAAGGAAGGGAAGAGCAGAGAGAAUGCGGAGGAGCCGUUAAUCACACAGCAGAUCAAUAAUGAUGGGAAGUGUCUCUAAGACAGUAUCUGCAGCAGUAGCUCCUCACGGGAAAGAUCUAUUUCUCUCCAGACUGAAAAAUGAGAUUAUAAAAAGUCCCCUCGCAUCAAAUGUGCUUCUUGGCCUGAUCCUCACUGGCUUGGAGAAUUUUAUAGAUAUGGAGUUUGCGUGUCCUUGUGAUCCUGCAUUUAAUGCUUUUUUUGCAUCAGUGUACUUAUUUUUUCCUGGAGUUACUGCCUCUGUGCUGAUGCUCGUUACUCAAGGAUGUAGGUGCAAAGCUCAGCAAGAGUUGGAGAAGGUUCUACUUAUUGGCUCAGUUCCUGUCAUAAUGUGGCUCGUCCUGGUCUUCUUGGAUGGAGAAUACUUUGCUUGUGCUAAGACUUACUGGUCGGGCAGGUAUGUGAUCGUUGACAAAGCUGAGCCCCAGAGAUGGUGUGAACCUACAAACAGCACCUCAUACAUGGAAAGAAUGCGCCUGACCCAGAGAUGGUACUUUCAGUCUCAGGUCAUGGGAAUUGUGGUUCUGAUAGGCAGCCUUGCUCUAUUUGGACUAUUCAAAUGCUCCCAAAGGCUUUUUAUUCAAAGGCCAGAGGAAAGAGCCACAGGUCUACGUGAGCUAAUCCAAGAAGAAGAGUUCGUGGUGAAUCUUGCCUCUUCCUCGACUGUCAGCUGAGAUGGACUGCAGCCUGCCUGCGCAGCUAAGAUGGUGAUCGGCUCCUUUAUAUCUGAUCCCAUGCUUUAUUCAAAACACUGCCUGGUCGAGUGGUUUCAUAGGCUGAUCUCUGUGCAGCCAUGUGAGCAGCUGCAUGGUUUCCUUUAAGAAGCAUUAUAACCAUCUGCCAUCCACAGUAUGUGUCACAUAUACUCUCGUUUUUAGACGUCCCACUCAAAGACCUUCAUGUUAUGCAAAACAUAUUGAUUCUAGGUAGACUGGCUGCCUUUAACCGCUUGGUGUCAGUCCUGCCUGCAAGUGUUAACAAGUUUGUAAUAACUUGAAAAUAUAAACACAGGAAAACUGAAAGUAAAAAUGGAGCACAAGACAUUACAAAGGAGCAGUCCAGUGCUGGAGUGAGGUUUUUAUCACAAGACCUUUGAGCAGAUCACAACAUCACCAUGGCCAGUCUCUCUAGAAAAACAACCGCAAUAGCAUCUGAUAAGACAAAACAAUUACAAAAGCACUUCAUCUCCACACUGAGAAGUGAGUUGUCACAAAGUCCUUUAGCAUCAAAUGUGCUUUUUGGCCUGAUCCUCACUGGCUUAGAGAGGUUUAUAGAGAUAGACUUUGCGUGUCCUUGUGAUCCUACACUGAACGCUCUGUUUGGAUCAGCAUUUAUAAUUUUGCCUGGAGUUGCUGCUUCUGUGCUGAUGCUUGUUAUUCACGGAUGUAAGUGCAACGUUCAACAAGACUGGAAGAAGCUUCUACAUUCUAGCCCAGUUCCUGCCAUAAUGUGGCUCAUCCUGGUCUUCUUUGACGGUCAAUACUAUGCCUGUGCUAAGACUUACUGGUCAGGCAGGUAUGUGGUCAUUGACAAAGCUAAACCCCAGAGAUAUUGUGAACCUGCCAACAGCACUUUAUACAUGGAGAGAAUGAGCCUGACCCAGACGUGGUACUAUCAAUCUCAGGGCAUUGGACUUGGGAUUCUUUUAGGCUGUGUUUUUUUACUCGUACUAUAUAAAGCAUAUAAAUGUCUACGUAAAAAAUGUACCGAUGGAAAUAACCAGGAUGAAGAGGAGCCAAAUAUUAGUAACACCUUAGAGAUGGGUGCUAGAGGAGCAGCCAAUGAAAACACGACCUCUGGAAGACAUUGAUCCAGCAGUCUGUUAGUUGCUGUGACCUUCAAAUAUUUGUUAAUAGUGAAGAUGUGAGUUGAUGUGAGUUGUUUAUCUCCAGGUGCUGACGUCUGACUGGCUUGUGUGUAGAGUUUAGACAUAUUUUGCAAAAAGUGUGUAAGCAAAAACUAAAUUAAGGUAUAUGUCAAAGAAGGAAGAGAAGGAGGAAAAGAACAAGGAGACAAGCAGUCUCAGAUGAAAUUCAAGCCACUGUUGUACUGUAGUUGAGCAUGUCCCUGUCCAUGGGGACUAAGAGGGAGGCUGAGUAAUGAGUGCAGCCACGUUUGAGUGGCUUCACUGUUGCCGCCAUCAUCAGAACCUUCAGCGUGGAAAACCGGUUGGUGUACUGACAGUAAGGGGCACGGUACAGUAAAGUGCAGCCACUGCGUCACAACAAUACUGUAGAGCAGCCUCACUAUGUCGUUGGUUGCAAUAGUGUGACUGCUUUACACAAUUACCUGUACCCAAUAAACUUUAGCUAGUAAUUAGAUGUUAUUAGACAACAGUAAUUAGACUUGAUGUAAGUAUGUGUAGAUGUGUUAGCAUUCUUAUUUUUAAUCUCCCUAUCUUCUUGUGUGUACCUCCAUCUGUGACAGCAAUCAAAGUGUGCAAAAUAAUUUCCCUCUGGGAUUAUUAAAGUUUUUUGAAUCAAUCUUGAAUCUGAGGUUUUUAACAUCUUUCUGCUGCAUACUCGGCCUGGUGGUGGAAAGUGUAUGACCGGAAACCUGAUACUUGUGCUCACCUCCUACAAGCCAUGGAAAAGCUACGUAGAGGGUUUUAUCAAUUCAGAAAAACUGUAAAGUCAGUGAGUGUAUGAAGCUGACUUUUCAUUGAUGUACUAAAUAUAUUACAAUGCAUUCAUAGUGAUGUUGAGUUUCAUGAGAACCGUUCUGGUUCAAUGGGUUCCAUUUAAUGGCAAAACCUGAAUUUUUCCCUCAUUGAAUUAGAUAUUUGAAUCACCAGUAGAAUGCUUCCAAACCCAAAUGAAGCACCCUCAUGCUGACAUGCUCAGACCUUUACAUGAACUGUAACAUAAACAAACAAGUCAGGUUGUUAAU